ensembl:snRNA U2 U2 spliceosomal RNA
AUCGCUUCUCGGCCUUUUGGCUAAGAUCAAGUGUAAAAACUAUGCACUGAACACACGUACUAGCAUUUAAAAACUGUGUUAGACUUGCCUCUUUGAGUUUAUGAAAUGAAGCACCUAUAUUACUACAUCAUAUAUGUUUUUUCAGUGUUCA